rnacentral:rRNA from 1 species
UACGUAGGGGGCAAGCGUUGUCCGGAAUCAUUGGGCGUAAAGGGUGCGUAGGUGGCGGGGUAAGUCAGGUGUGAAAUCUCGGAGCUCAACUCCGAAACUGCACUUGAUACUGCCUUGCUGGAGUACUGGAGAGGAGAUUGGAAUUUACGGUGUAGCAGUGAAAUGCGUAGAUAUCGUAAGGAAGACCAGUGGCGAAGGCGAAUCUCUGGACAGUUACUGACACUGAGGCACGAAGGCCAGGGGAGCAAACGGG